UACAGAGGUGGCAAGCGUUGUUCGGAAUUACUGGGCGUAAAGGGCGCGUAGGCGGCCAUCUAAGUCAGACGUGAAAUCCCCCGGCUUAACCUGGGAACCGCGUCUGAUACUGGAAGGCUUGAGUAUGGGAGAGGGAUGUAGAAUUCCAGGUGUAGCGGUGAAAUGCGUAGAUAUCUGGAGGAAUACCGGUGGCGAAGGCGGCAUCCUGGACCAUUACUGACGCUGAGGCGCGAAAGCUAGGGGAGCAAACGGG
rnacentral:rRNA from 1 species